rnacentral:rRNA from 1 species
GCUUGCUCUCGGGUGACGAGCGGCGGACGGGUGAGUAAUGUCUGGGAAACUGCCUGAUGGAGGGGGAUAACUACUGGAAACGGUAGCUAAUACCGCAUAAUGUCGCAAGACCAAAGUGGGGGACCUUCGGGCCUCAUGCCAUCAGAUGUGCCCAGAUGGGAUUAGCUAGUAGGUGGGGUAACGGCUCACCUAGGCGACGAUCCCUAGCUGGUCUGAGAGGAUGACCAGCCACACUGGAACUGAGACACGGUCCAGACUCCUACGGGAGGCAGCAGUGGGGAAUAUUGCACAAUGGGCGCAAGCCUGAUGCAGCCAUGCCGCGUGUAUGAAGAAGGCCUUCGGGUUGUAAAGUACUUUCAGCGGGGAGGAAGGCGAUAAGGUUAAUAACCUUGUCGAUUGACGUUACCCGCAGAAGAAGCACCGGCUAACUCCGUGCCAGCAGCCGCGGUAAUACGGAGGGUGCAAGCGUUAAUCGGAAUUACUGGGCGUAAAGCGCACGCAGGCGGUCUGUCAAGUCGGAUGUGAAAUCCCCGGGCUCAACCUGGGAACUGCAUUCGAAACUGGCAGGCUAGAGUCUUGUAGAGGGGGGUAGAAUUCCAGGUGUAGCGGUGAAAUGCGUAGAGAUCUGGAGGAAUACCGGUGGCGAAGGCGGCCCCCUGGACAAAGACUGACGCUCAGGUGCGAAAGCGUGGGGAGCAAACAGGAUUAGAUACCCUGGUAGUCCACGCCGUAAACGAUGUCGAUUUGGAGGUUGUGCCCUUGAGGCGUGGCUUCCGGAGCUAACGCGUUAAAUCGACCGCCUGGGGAGUACGGCCGCAAGGUUAAAACUCAAAUGAAUUGACGGGGGCCCGCACAAGCGGUGGAGCAUGUGGUUUAAUUCGAUGCAACGCGAAGAACCUUACCUGGUCUUGACAUCCACAGAACUUAGCAGAGAUGGUUUGGUGCCUUCGGGAACUGUGAGACAGGUGCUGCAUGGCUGUCGUCAGCUCGUGUUGUGAAAUGUUGGGUUAAGUCCCGCAACGAGCGCAACCCUUAUCCUUUGUUGCCAGCGGUCCGGCCGGGAACUCAAAGGAGACUGCCAGUGAUAAACUGGAGGAAGGUGGGGAUGACGUCAAGUCAUCAUGGCCCUUACGACCAGGGCUACACACGUGCUACAAUGGCAUAUACAAAGAGAAGCGACCUCGCGAGAGCAAGCGGACCUCAUAAAGUAUGUCGUAGUCCGGAUUGGAGUCUGCAACUCGACUCCAUGAAGUCGGAAUCGCUAGUAAUCGUAGAUCAGAAUGCUACGGUGAAUACGUUCCCGGGCCUUGUACACACCGCCCGUCACACCAUGGGAGUGGGUUGCAAAAGAAGUAGGUAGCUUAACCUUCGGGAGGG